rnacentral:misc_RNA from 1 species
UUUCCGUAGGUGAACCUGCGGAAGGAUCAUCAGUGAAAAACAUUGAUUUUUCAUCACACACCCCAAUGUGCAACCCCGGGGGAGGGGGGAGACCUAGUCUCCCACCUCCCCCGCUUUUUUCCCACAAAACAACCCCCUUUUUACCCUGUCCUUCAUAAAAUACCAAAACAAACAAACAAAAGACAACUUUUAACAACGGAUCUCUUGGCUCUC